GACGAACGUUGGCGGCGUGGAUGAGGCAUGCAAGUCGAACGCGAAAGCCGCAAGGUGAGUAGAGUGGCGGACGGGCGAGUAACACGUAAUCAAGCUACCUGCGAGACGGGGAUAACCUCGGGAAACCGAAGCUAAGACCCGAUGGUUUGCGCGGACCGCAUGGUCCAUGCAAUAAAUGGGCGGGAUCCUCCGGGACCGCCUGCUCGCAGAGGUGAUUGCGGCCCAUCAGCUAGUUGGUAGGGUAACGGCCUACCAAGGCAACGACGGGUAGCCGGCCUUAGAGGGUGGUCGGCCGCACUGGGACUGAGACACUGCCCAGACUCCUACGGGAGGCUGCAGUCGAGAAUCUUCCGCAAUGGGCGAAAGCCUGACGGAGCGACGCCGCGUGGAGGACGAAGGCCUCGGGUUGUAAACUCCUGUCACGAGUUAAGAAGGGUAAGUCCGGCGAACAGCCGGGUGCUUUGACGUAAGCUCGAGAGGAA
rnacentral:rRNA from 1 species